GUGACCGUGGGUGGCUUGGCAGGAGCGCAGCACCAACGCCUUCACUUAACUUGGGGGCUGGGAUCCAAGUUAGUGCAGUUUUACUGUGUAUGGUAUUCCUUAGUCUCCCCUCAUCCGCAAUCCUAGGACUCUCUUAUCUCCAAAGGGAGAAAACCAAAACGAUCCGAGCCAGCAAUGUCACCUGUGUGGUUCCCCUCCCAGCCCGUGGCAGAACCCAUACUUGGUAAGCCUAGCACAUGUAGGGAGUGCGCUCUCUCUCUUUUUAAAUAAAGACUUUCUUUAGGGCAGUUUUAGGCAUCCAGGAAGACUGAGAGGAAGGCCCCGAGGUUUCCCCUGUCCCCCCUGCCCCACACAUGCGUAACCUCUCCAGUUAUCAGCAAGCUCACCAGAGCGGUCCGUUUUUUAACCAAUGACCAACUGCUUCCACACACCAUGAUCACACAAAGCCCCUGGUUUACCUUGGGGUUGCCUCUUGGUUCGCUCUUGUUCUGUGAGUUUGGCCGAAUGUGUAAUGACACGUGUCCACCAUGAUAACAUCAUACGGAGAAUUUUCAUGGUCCUGACAACCCUCUGUGCCCGGCCUCGUCAUCUCUCCCCAACCCCCACAUAUCUCUUUCUAUAGCUCAGGAGCUCCAUUUUUCCCCCAAAGCAGUUUCCCGGUAGCUCUGCUUCCUGUAUUGAUGAACGGUUUCCUGAAAUGCAGGCCUGCACCAAGGAUUGAGCUUGAACACGAGUUAGAUUUUCACAAACAGGAAGGGGGAGCAAGGGGAAAAGAGAGAGAGGCGUUUGUCUCAGAAGCUAGACGAAGGGAAACCUUGCAGCUAUCCCGUAAUCUCAUCGAACUGAAGCGCUAAGCACUGGUCCUCACUGUAGCGGGCUUGGGGGGUUGCAGUUCGGAAAGCCCGCGCCCUCCGCCUCCUGCAGCUGACGCUGUCAAAGGCCGCCUGGUUCCUGCAGGUGCAGCCGCACCUGCAUUUCACAGUGCGUUCAGCAUCGGUCUUCCUUCUUCCACGCCGCCUCCCUUCAGACCGGGCGGUGCUGGACUUCGCUCUCACAGCCGAUGACUGCCCGCUGCUCAGAUCGCUGCACCGAGGAUGGAGCCUUACGGCCUGGACUGUAAAGGUCAGUAGUGUGUUUAACAUGGUGGUGGCCACGUGAGCUGGCCUGAGCUUGCCUUGACUGCUAGCAUGUUCAGUAGCUGUUUAACAGGAAGGUUCAUUUCAGAAUUACGUCAAAAUGAGCACUUGAUGGUUGUGGUCCAAUCAGCAGGCCGUAGCAGGUGACAUCCUGGGGGUGACAGUCUUGCUGUCCAUCGUAUGCUAGGUCCAAGCUCUCUCCCUGUGUUUUAGAAACCUUUGUGCGCAGGGCCCUGGGCUUCCAGGACCCCAGAGACAUCGUCGGGGGGUGGAGGCAUAGUUAUCCCCGAGGAUAAAAUAACAGAAUCGCUGCUGUCCUUCAAAACAAAUCCCAAAGUAUUGUUAAACUGUCAGUUAUCACCCCUCUGCUCAGAAGACUCACCUUUCCUUCCCACCCUAGAAAUAUUUGGGGUGCAGGACUUUGACCACCUCUGCUCUGGGCAUUGGGGCGGGCAGCCUUCACAGUUCUUUUUUUUGCCAGCCCACAUUCUCAGUAAGGGUCCUUCCUCACCAUCAGGUUAAUUCCCUGUGGCCUUUUGGGGGGCAGAGCAAGAGGUCUUUGACCUACACGGGUUAGGCUUUGAGAUCCUCACGGCUGGAAUUCUCCAUCUGUUCUGAGCCCGGUGCAAUCCAGCAUCCCAGGAUUUAAGGCUGAGACCGGGCGUCAAAGCUCAGCAAGUAAUUCUGGGUUUGUCUGUCCUCCACUGCGUUCUCUGCAGGUAGUUUCCCCGGGGGGCCUAAAUGGUAUGCAUGGAGGACUGUGCAUCAGGCAUGUUUGCGAGGACAAAGGGACAGGAAGUGAGAGGGACAGGGAAUUGUAAACAAAAAGAGUAAAGAAUCCUCAAAAAGGAGCAAUAUAAUAUAUAAAAUAACUUCCAGGGUUUGAGCCAGAGUAACCGGGGCAAACAGUAGCAUAGUUAAUGCAAGUAGGGCAGUUAUAAGGAGAAAUGACUUGAAAAAAGGAACGCGUAUGUUUGUUUCUGCGCGUGAAUUUGAGGUGCAGCUGGACACCCCAGUAAUGACGUUCAGGGGACAGUUUAGGCCAGUAUUUGCCAGAGGGCCUAGGAAAUCCACAUCUCGCUCUUAAGACUGUUCUUCUUCUUUCCGUUUUGUGUGUGUGUAAUUAAAAAAAUUGAGGGACUUCCCUGGCGGUCCAGUGGGUAAGACUCUGCACUUCCAAU